UACGGAGGGAGCUAGCGUUGUUCGGAAUUACUGGGCGUAAAGCGCGCGUAGGCGGUUACUCAAGUCAGAGGUGAAAGCCCGGGGCUCAACCCCGGAACUGCCUUUGAAACUAGGUGACUAGAAUCUUGGAGAGGUCAGUGGAAUUCCGAGUGUAGAGGUGAAAUUCGUAGAUAUUCGGAAGAGCACCAGUGGCGAAGGCGACUGACUGGACAAGUAUUGACGCUGAGGUGCGAAAGCGUGGGGAGCAAACAGG
rnacentral:rRNA from 1 species